rnacentral:tRNA from 1 species
GCCUGGCUGACUCAGUUGGUAGAGCAUGGGUCUCUUGAUCUCACUCAGAUUGUGGGUUCAAACCCCAUGUUGGGUA